UACAGGUAUAAAUGUAGGUAACGAUAUUUGUAUAGAACCAUUUUUCACGUGACUGGGCCGGCUUAGCCUGCCAAUAAAAACAGUUACAUAUAAAUACAUUUUUUUUUUAUUUAGUUGUUUACAUUCACAAUUUGUCCGAUUUGGACAUUUGGUAGAAUUGAUAUAAAUACAUUGAAGCAAAUGUCCUUGGGUCGGUAUAACUUGCUAAGGAUAUCAGAGGUCAUACGACAUCGUAGGCAAACAGACCCUAACAUUUAGAAAUUGCGAUGUCUAGUGUAUUCGGGUAUUCUUUGUAGAAUUAUUAAGCGAGUGAAUGGAAUAGACUAUCCUGCGCAUAUUCUACCAUCCUGGUUAAACGUGGCUUUUCAAAUAAAUCGGACACAAGUUUUGCGCAUGAGAAUACUAACUACUUCCUGUGGAAAGCAAUCAAAAAAACAGACAACACACGGACUAGAAGCAACGAAGAACGAGCUGAAAAAUUUUCCAGCCACCUUUAUGACACAUUUACUUCAUAUAAUAUUAACAACACUAACUCCAAGUGUCAUACAGACGUUGACGCAGGAAAUACUAGCAUCUCAACUAACAAGCACUACACCAUACCUAGUACAACAGCACAAAAAAUUAGAAUCAUAAUCAAGCACCAGGAAUCGACCUAAUCAAUGGUAAAAUCUUAAAAAACCUUCCCCUAAAAGCAAUACGAUUAAUGACAAUAACGUUCAAUGCAAUUUUAAGAAUUCAAUACUUUCCUACAAAAUACUUUCCUAUGAAAGCCUCUUACAAACAAUCAAAAAACAUUUCCCGGAACAUAUUUUCCACUUAUUCAAAUCAUACCUAAGCAAUGGAACCUUGGUAAUAAAAAUAAAGGACGGUUACUCUGAA